rnacentral:rRNA from 1 species
UACACUCCUACGGGAGGCAGCAGUGGGGAAUUUUGGACAAUGGGCGAAAGCCUGAUCCAGCCAUGCCGCGUGCAGGAUGAAGGCCUUCGGGUUGUAAACUGCUUUUGUACGGAACGAAACGGCCUUUUCUAAUAAAGAGGGCUAAUGUCGGUACCGUAAGAAUAAGCACCGGCUAACUACGUGCCAGCAGCCGCGGUAAUACGUAGGGUGCAAGCGUUAAUCGGAAUUACUGGGCGUAAAGCGUGCGCAGGCGGUUAUGUAAGACAGUUGUGAAAUCCCCGGGCUCAACCUGGGAACUGCAUCUGUGACUGCAUAGCUAGAGUACGGUAGAGGGGGAUGGAAUUCCGCGUGUAGCAGUGAAAUGCGUAGAUAUGCGGAGGAACACCGAUGGCGAAGGCAAUCCCCUGGACCUGUACUGACGCUCAUGCACGAAAGCGUGGGGAGCAAACAGGAUUAGAUACCCCGGUAGUCCCAUG